AAACCAGCACCUCAAGUGGUCAGGAGGAUUAUUGGGCCUAAAGCAUCCGUAGCCUGUUCUAUAAGUUUCCGGUUAAAUCCACUAGCUCAACUAGUGGGCUGCCGAAAAUACUGUAGAACUAGGGAGUGGGAGAGGUAGACGGUAUUCGGUAAGAAGGGGUAAAAUCCUUUGAUCUAUUGAGGACCACCUGUGGCGAAGGCGGUCUACCAGAACACGUUCGACGGUGAGGGAUGAAAGCUGGGGGAGCAAACCGGAUUAGAAACCCCAGUAGUCC
rnacentral:rRNA from 1 species